UUGUUUGUUGCACUUUGCCAUGCCAUGCCUCAUUAAACCGGACAUGCAUCAUAUUUGUUUUUGCAUCAUGCCAUGUGUAUGUGGUGGUUGUUUACUAUGUUGUUUGUUUCUUUCCGGUUUGCUUCUCUCGUUACCUUCGGUUUCGUUCCGGAGUUGUGAGGAUUCCUUCGUCUACGUCCGUUUGUCUUCUUCAUGGACUUGUUCUUCUUCUUUGCGGGAUUUCAGGCAAGAUGACCACCCCUCGAAAUCACUUCUAUCUUUGCUAUGCUAGUUGAUCGCUCUAUUGCCAUGCUCGCUACCUAUCACUUGCUAUAUCAUGUCUCCCAUUUUAGCCAUGUCAGCCCUAACCAUCCCUUCCUAGCAAACCGUUGUUUGGCUAUGUUACCGCUUUUGCUCAGCCCCUCUUAUAGCGUUGCUAGUUGCAGGUGAAGUUGAAGUUUGUUCCAUGUCGGAACAUGGAUAUGUUGGGAUAUCACAAUAUCUCUUAUUUAAUUAAUGCAUCUAUAUAUCUUGGUAAAGGGUGGAAGGCUCGGCCUUAUGCCUGGUGUUUUGUUCCACUCUUGCCGCCCUAGUUUCCGUCAUACCGGUGUUAUGUUCCUUGAUUUUGCGUUCCUUACGCGGUUGGGUGAUUUAUGGGACCCCCUUGACAGUUCGCUUUGGAUAAAACUCCUCCAGCAAGGCCCAACCUUGGUUUUACCAUUUGCUACCACCUAUCCCCUUUUUCCUUGGGUUCUGCAGACUCAAGGGUCAUCUUAUUUUAACCCCCCCGGGCCAGUGCUCCUUCGAGUGUUGGUCCGAACUGAGUAGACUGCGGGGCCCCCUCGUGGAAACUCGAGGUCUGGUUUUACUCGUAGGAUGUCUCAUCCGGUGUUGCCCUGAGAACGAGAUAUGUGCAGCUCCUAUCGGGAUUUGUCGGCACACCGGGCGGCUUUGCUGGUCUUGUUUUACCAUUGUCGGAAUGUCUUGUAAACCGGGAUUCCGAGACUGAUCGGGUCGUUCCGGGAGAAGGUUUAUCCUUCGUUGACCGUGAGAGCUUAUAAUGGGCUAAGUUGGGACACCCCUGCAGGGUAUUAUCUUUCGAAAGCCGUGCCCGCGGUUAUGAGGCAGAUGGGAAUUUGUUAACGUCCGGUUGUAGAGAACUUGACACUUGACCUUAAUUAAAACGCAUCAACCGCGUGUGUAGCCGUGAUGGUCUCUUCUCGGCGGAGUCCGGGAAGCGAACACGGUUUGAGUUAUGAAUGACGUAAGUAGGAGUUCAGGAUCACAUCUUGAUCAUUGCUAGUUCACGACCGUUCCGUUGCUGCUCUUCUCGCUCUCAUUUGCGUAAGUUAGCCACCAUAUAAGCUUAGUGCUUGCUGCAGCUCCACCUCACUACCCCAUCCUUUCCUUUAAGCUUAAAUAGUCUUGAUCUCGCGGGUGUGAGAUUGCUGAGUCCUCGUGACUCACAGAUACUUCCAAAACAGUUGCAGGUGCCGACGAUGCCAGUGCAGGUGACGCAACCGAGCUCAAGUGGGAGCUCGAUGAAGAUCUUGUCCGUUGUGUUGUUUCUUUUCUUAUUGAUCAGUAGUGCAGCCCAGUUGGGACGAUCAGGGAUCUAGCAGUUGGGUUGUCUUCUUUUCUUUUGGGUUCCGUAGUCGGACCUAUGUGUGUAUCUUGAAUGAUGUAUGAUUAUUUAUGUAUUGUGUGAAGUGGCGAUUGUAAGCCAACUCUUUAUCCCAUUCUUGUUCAUUACAUGGGAUUGUGUGAAGAUGACCUUUCUUGCGACAAAACCACAAUGCGGUUAUGCCUCUAAGUCGUGCCUCGACACGUGGGAGAUAUAGCCGCAUCGUGGGCGUUACAGGGAAGCAACAACGCGAGCUAUUGAU
rnacentral:lncRNA from 1 species